rnacentral:rRNA from 1 species
UGCGGUUAUACAAGUAAUAUAAUUUAAUUUUAUUAAUAAAAAUUAAUUAAUUUGAUUAAAAAUUUUAUAUUAAAGUUUAUUAGGUAAAAUUUUAAAUUUUAAUUAUAUUUAAUUUAUAAAAUGAAGUUUAGAAAUUUAAUUAAUAAACUAGGAUUAGAUACCCUAUUAUUUUAAAUGUADUUUGUUUAUAUUAAAUUAGUAUUAGCUAUGUUCUUGAAAAUUAAAAAUUUUGGCGGUAUUUUAGUCUUUUCAGAGGAACCUGUUCUAUAAAUGAUAAUCCACGAUUUAAUUUACUUUUAUUAUUAAUUUGUAUAUCAUCGUAAUUAAGUAUUUUUUUAGAAUUAUUAAUAUUUAAGGUUUUUAAUUAAAAAAUAAAUCAGAUCAAGGUGUAAUUUAUAUAAAAGAAGAAAUGGGUUACAAUAAAUAAAUUUUUGGAUAAUUUUUAUUAUUAGAAGUUUAAAUUUGGAUUUGAAAGUAAUUUUAAUUAAUUAAUUAAUUUGAUUUUGGCUCUAAAAUAUGC